UACGGGAGGCAGCAGUGGGGAAUAUUGCACAAUGGGCGCAAGCCUGAUGCAGCCAUGCCGCGUGUGUGAAGAAGGCCUUCGGGUUGUAAAGCACUUUCAGUUGUGAGGAAGGUGGUGUCGUUAAUAGCGGCAUCAUUUGACGUUAGCAACAGAAGAAGCACCGGCUAACUCCGUGCCAGCAGCCGCGGUAAUACGGAGGGUGCGAGCGUUAAUCGGAAUUACUGGGCGUAAAGCGCAUGCAGGUGGUUUGUUAAGUCAGAUGUGAAAGCCCGGGGCUCAACCUCGGAACUGCAUUUGAAACUGGCAGACUAGAGUACUGUAGAGGGGGUAGAAUUUCAGGUGUAGCGGUGAAAUGCGUAGAGAUCUGAAGGAAUACCGGUGGCGAAGGCGGCCCCCUGGACAGAUACUGACACUCAGAUGCGAAAGCGUGGGGAGCAAACAGGAUUAGAUACCCUGGUAG
rnacentral:rRNA from 1 species